CCUGAUUGCCUCAGAAGCAUCCUGGACCAUCACAGAUGCUUUAGGUAACUCUUACAGUAGAAGAGAAGCGAAUGAUAAGAGAAUUCAUCCCCACUAGAUCAGCCCUAUAAGAAAUGUUCAAAGAAGUCUGAACACGGAAAUGAAAGGAUGAUACUUGCUACCAUAAAAGUACAUGCUGCAGUUCAGUGGCAUGAUCUUGGUUCACUGCAACUUCUGCCUCCCGAGUUCAAGCGAUUCUCCUGCCAUUUGACCCAGU